GUCCGGGAACAGCCUGCUGCGGUACAGGCUGUUCCCUUCGCUCAGCUGACAACACGUUUCAUCAACACUGCUGUGUAAUAGCCGAGCCCUAGCCUGCACAGAAGGGAUGUGUAAAAGCACCGAAAUAAAAGCACGCUGCACUGCCCGAUUAGAGGCGCGGUGAGACGGAUUACUGUUUGUUUAUUUUUUUUGUUUACCGGGGAUUUAUACAAUUGCUGUAGCGUUUCUAGAACUUAUUUGAAGGGAGGUGACAGUUGAAACUUCAUGGCAGGUCUCUGGUGGGUGAAUCCUACUGUCAGAGGUGGUGAGGACAUUGUCUGACCACGCUGCUGGCAGCUAUUGAAGGGAACAUGAUGAUCCUGUUAAUUAUAAAGGUGACAUAACACAAGUGAAUCUGACUCUGCAAACCCACAGGGAUGUUGUCAACUGGCUGUAAUCUUCUGCACCAUCAGUUAUAGGAAGAAAACAGGUUUCACACACUCUUUAUUGGAACAUUUUAUUUACAUUAAAAGCCAAAAAGUACUACAGAAACAGAACGGCUGUGGCCUUGUGAUCUGAUGACACCACCAGCCCUCAAACACCCUACACUGCACCACCCACCUGAAGUUGUUAACAAUAAAUACAUGCUUUUUUUAAAAAAUCAUCAAGAUAGUUGACUCCAGCUCAGGCAGAGAUUUGUUUGUUUUCUCAACCCUUGUCUGAACUGCGGUGUCCUGGUAGUUUUGUUAGCAGAUCCCCCCACCCCUCUGUCUUGUCUGCUUAAGUGGAGGUCAAAAAUGAACUCAACUGACCUGAGCUGAACUGAAAUGCAUGAAUAGAUUUCUAAAUUGACACAGUGCCUGACAUGUUGUCUUCCUUCCUGAAAUAUCACGAACAUCUUGUUUCAGUUCUGGUGAAAGCAGCAACCUGGUAGGAAACAGGAAAACUAGGUGGUCAAAGGUUAAAUAAACAGUUUGUAGCUGUUUAAUAGAAAUAUAAUUAACAUUUUUACAUUGAUUUGUCGCUCAUAUUUUGAGCUUUAGAGCCUAUUAUUACACUGAGUGAUAAAUACUAGCAAUAUAUUCACUAAAAAGUCUUAUAAUCUUUGUUAAUAUAAUCCAAUACAUUGGAGAUGUUCUUGAUAAUUGGCAAAUACAUUUGCCAAACAUUGUAUGAAGUACCAAAAUCUGAUAGGCAGUUACGAGAAUGCAUCUGUCUGAAUGAGUGUCUUAGUGUAACCAGAAGCACGCGGGUGAGUUCAUUCAGGGAUACAGGCUGCACAGUCAUCAGGAAGUGAAACAGAACAGAAUGUGCUGUACUAAUCUGAUUGAAAAACACUACCCUGAGCGGAGGCACGAAAAAAAAAAAGAUGUUUCAUUUACACAGCUAAAAGGAGAAUACUAUGGCAGCAGAGGGAUAUGUGCAAAUACAACAAAUGUAGCUCAACUCUUCAUUUUGUGAUAUAAAAGACAAGAGAAGAACUCGCUCUCACACAAACAUGCACACAGCGACUAAAAUAAAGCUGAGCAACAUAAUGUUCUUUGUUUGUGUUCGAGGCACCCAUGUUACGUACAUGGGAGUAAUCUCCUGAGUGAUCCCUUUUAUCCCUGAACUUUUGCCCCCUGAAGCAAGAGUUCUUUUCUGCUGCGUCUGCCAAGGACCCUAAAUAAAUGAUCCCUUGCUGCCGUUGAUGAAUACAAACACAGUGGCACAGUGACAGGAGGAAUCUUCAGCUUUUUAUCCUUGACAAGGUUUAGUGCUGGUUUUUAUCUCCUUAUCUUAUCUGUUAAGAUAAAAUCUGUUUACAUAUCAUGAAAAUAAUAAUAGAAAAGUUUACUAAAUGUAUAAAGUUGUCAGUGGUGAAAGAAAUAUUCAGAUUUUCAGUCUCAAUAGAAUAGUGUAAAAACACAUUACAGGUAAAAGUCACAUAUUCAAAAUGUCAAAGGGUAAGUACAGAAGUAUUCCUGUAUGAAUUCAAAGUAUUGAAAAAUAAUGUAGUUAAAGUAAAGUGAAAGUAUUCUUUAUGCAAGCCCCUGUCAGUGUUACAGUACAUUAUUAUACAUUAUUGUAUUGGAUCGUUAGUUGAGUUGGAACUAAUGUCAAACUUUGAAUAUGCACUGUAUAUGCAAUAUAUGUCCUUCUGAAAGUACUCAAAUAAACUACAAGUGCCUUAAACUUGAAAAAAUAAAAAAAUAAAAAAUACAGUAUAUACUGUAAAUGUAAAUGUAUUUGGAAAGGUAAAUGGUGUGGCUGCGCAGGGGGUUUUUUGGACCUCCAUUCAUUUAUAAUUAUAAUUUGCAGUUAUACUUAUUUUUAGGUGAUUUCCACCCUCACUAUUGUGGGAGUUUGUUUGUUUAGUGGCCUCAGCACUGGAUCACUCUCUUGCAUGAUGGAUACACACUGAGAUCAAAAGAGCACAAGACUUCCAGAUGUGCGGCUCCAGUUUGUAGUCUGGUCCCAAAAGAAACAUUAUUUAAUUUUACCUGCAUUUUUCGUUACAGAUAAGAAGACAAAAAAAAUCCGAGAUCCCUCGGAAAUCCCUCUUUAACAACUCAAAAAACAUUCUUAACAAUGUUUUAUCAUCUUGAUACUUUUUCAUGACUUUUCCUUCUUUUAUCAGAAAAUGACGCAGCAUUUUAUGUACCUAAUAAACUGGCACCUGAGAUAAAACAUGACAUGUUUCCUUAUUUGGUGUUAUAACAAUGCUUUAUGGUAAUUUCCGUAUUUUGUCACAUUCAUCCAAUGUGUACACACAUGUUUGUGGCCAAGGGAAGGGUUACGAUUUCAAUACUUCUCCAUAAUUGGUUUUAAUGAGCUCAGAAGAAAUAAAGAAAUAUCUGAAGAAAUACAA